UAAAAUUCUAUGUCAUUUAUGAAUAGAUUCGCUUGAACAAAUUUUCACUGCAUAUGCAUUUGUUGACCUUCUAUUUAAUAUUUUACUUUUCAUUAGAUAUCCAAAAGGAAAAUAAUAUAAAGGAUUACAUGUGUAAUUUAACUGAAUUACAAAAUAUUAUUUGUUUAUAAAACACAAUAAAAUUAAGUUCGAAUUAAACAAAGUCUACUGAAUUACAUAUAAAAUAUCUAUUUACCAUUCUGAAGCUACUUCCUCGGGAGGCACAUGUUUUCAAAUGACCACCAUAAAGCUUUCCAAGAACUGUGUAAUGUACAAGGAUCUGUUCCGUUCCAAGCAUCCAUUAGUUUACUUCCUGGCUUGGAGAAAUAUGAAUGUUGACAAUGGACAAUUAUGUAGCCUGUUUCCAGACCUGCUUCUCCAAUUAAGUUCUGAGGGAAGAAAUUUUUUUAAAAGGGUUAAUAGGUUCUAGGACAACAUUAUAAAGUAUAAGUAUAGUUGACUCACAAUUUUACCAUUAGCUUCAGGUGUACAACAUAGUGAUCAGAUGAGUCUAUACACUAUGCUGUGCUCACCACAAGUGUAGCUACCAUAUGUCACCAUCAAAAGCUAUUACAUACCAAUGAAUAUGUUUUCUUUGCUGUACCUUUCAUCCUGGUGAUUAUUCAUUCCAUAGCUGGAAGCCUGUAUCUCCAACUCCCCUUCAUGCAUUUUGCUUAUCCCUCCAACUCCCUCCCUCUCCGGCAGCCACAUCAGUAAACAGGAUAUUUAAAAAAAAUUUAUUGAUUAAAAAUUUUACAUACAGUAGAAAUCACUCAUUUUGAUAGACAGUUCCGUGAGCUUUGAUAAAUACAGUUGAAGAGUUGUAUCAUAAUCAAGAUACACAACCGUUCCCUUAUCACCCCAGCAAACUCCCUUAUACUUCUUCUUUGUACUUAAGCCUUCCACCAGCCCUCAAAACUGUCAACUGUUAAUUUAUCACUAACCAGUAAUCAUCAUUUUGUCUUUUCCUUUAAUAUCACAUAUGGGAAUUAUUUGAGAUUUACCUAUCUUGUUGCCUUUAAUUGCUGAGGUCCUUCCUCUCGUUGAUUAAAGUUUUACUGCAUGAAUACACCAGAGUUUGUUCAUCUAUUUACCAACUGAAGGGCAUCUGAGUUGCUUACUGUUUUCAGCAAUUAUGAAUAACGAUGCUCAAAGAUUCACACAGGUUUUAAUGUGAAUGUAUGUUUCGUUUCUCUUGGGUAAGUACCUAGGAGUAUAUAGUUAGACAUAUAACAAACUAGCAGGAUGCCUUCCAGAGUGGGCAUUACCAUUGUCCAUUCUCACCAGUGAGGUACGAGAGUUCUGGUUGCUCUCCAUCCUCAUGGGUACUUGAUAUUAUCAGUAUUUUUAAACCAAGUUAAUAGGCAUAUA
rnacentral:lncRNA from 12 species